rnacentral:rRNA from 1 species
GACGAACGCUGGCGGCGUGCUUAACACAUGCAAGUCGAACGGAAAGGCCCUGCUUUUGUGGGGUGCUCGAGUGGCGAACGGGUGAGUAACACGUGAGUAACCUGCCCUUGACUUUGGGAUAACUUCAGGAAACUGGGGCUAAUACCGGAUAGGAGCUCCUGCUGCAUGGUGGGGGUUGGAAAGUUUCGGCGGUUGGGGAUGGACUCGCGGCUUAUCAGCUUGUUGGUGGGGUAGUGGCUUACCAAGGCUUUGACGGGUAGCCGGCCUGAGAGGGUGACCGGACACAUUGGGACUGAGAUACGGCCCAGACUCCUACGGGAGGCAACAGUGGGGAAUAUUGCACAAUGGGCGGAAGCCUGAUGCAGCAAAGCAGCGUGCGGGAUGACGGCCUUCGGGUUGUAAACCGCUUUCGCCUGUGACGAAGCGUGAGUGACGGUAAUGGGUAAAGAAGCACCGGCUAACUACGUG